AUGAAUGACAGAGUUAUGACACUGGACAGGACACCAGCUCCAUGGGAAUCUUUCUAUCACAUUGGGUUCCAGCUCCUCUUUAUAACCCAGUUGCAGUUAACAAGAAGCACCUGCCACUCUGACUCAAUGGAAGAAAAAAUAGAUGGGGAAAGCAGUCACAGCUCAAAGCAGAUAGACAAACAGAUUGAUCCACAGCAGACUACACAGCAUCAAAGACAGAUGCAUAUAUUCAUCCACAUGCAGAAGCAAAUGAGGAAUAUGUUCAGAGAAAACCUGGGAUCACAAUACACCAGCUUGGGGUGCACUACAAAUCACAAAGGAGAAAAAUGAAUGCAUGUACUGAAACCCCCAAACAACACUUUCCAAUUGUCUUGAAGUGUACCUGGGAGCACAUAAAGAAAAUAAAGAAAAAUCUUCAAUUUACUGACUUAAAAUA
rnacentral:lncRNA from 1 species